UACGGGGGGGGCAAGCGUUGUUCGGAAUUACUGGGCGUAAAGGGCUCGUAGGUGGCCAACUAAGUCAGACGUGAAAUCCCUCGGCUUAACCGGGGAACUGCGUCUGAUACUGGAUGGCUUGAGUUCGGGAGAGGGAUGCGGAAUUCCAGGUGUAGCGGUGAAAUGCGUAGAUAUCGGGAGGAAUACCAGCGGCGAAGGCGGCCUUCUGGACGGUGACUGACGCUGAGACGCGAAAGCGUGGGGAGCAAACAGG
rnacentral:rRNA from 1 species